rnacentral:rRNA from 1 species
GUGGGGAAUUUUGGACAAUGGGCGCAAGCCUGAUCCAGCAAUGCCGCGUGCAGGAAGAAGGCCUUCGGGUUGUAAACUGCUUUUGUACGGAACGAAACGGUCCGGGUUAAUACCCUGGGCUAAUGACGGUACCGUAAGAAUAAGCACCGGCUAACUACGUGCCAGCAGCCGCGGUAAUACGUAGGGUGCAAGCGUUAAUCGGAAUUACUGGGCGUAACGCGUGCGCAGGCGGUUUUGUAAGACAGGCGUGAAAUCCCCGGGCUCAACCGGGGAAUUGCGCUUGUGACUGCAAGGCUGGAGUGCGGCAGAGGGGGAUGGAAUUCCGCGUGUAGCAGUGAAAUGCGUAGAUAUGCGGAGGAACACCGAUGGCGAAGGCAAUCCCCUGGGCCUGCACUGACGCUCAUGCACGAAAGCGUGGGGAGCAAACAGGAUUAGAUACCCCAGUAGUCC